GGGCGAGUGGCGGAACUGGUAGACGCGAUGGACUUAAAAUCCAUUGGGCUUAACACUCGUGAGAGUUCGAGUCUCUCCUCGCCCACCA
rnacentral:tRNA from 2 species